rnacentral:rRNA from 1 species
UACGGGGGGGGCAAGCGUUGUUCGGAAUUACUGGGCGUAAAGGGCUCGUAGGCGGCCAAUUAAGUCAGAUGUGAAAUCCCUCGGCUUAACCGGGGAACUGCGUCUGAUACUGGAUGGCUUGAGGUUGGGAGAGGGAUGCGGAAUUCCCGGUGUAGCGGUGAAAUGCGUAGAUAUCUGGAGGAACACCGGUGGCGAAGGCGGCAUCCUGGACCAAUUCUGACGCUGAGGAGCGAAAGCCAGGGGAGCAAACGGG